AGUGAACGCUGGCGGUAGGCCUAACACAUGCAAGUCGAACGGCAGCACAGUAAUAGCUUGCUCUUACGGGUGGCGAGUGGCGGACGGGUGAGGAAUACAUCGGAAUCUACUUUUUCGUGGGGGAUAACGUAGGGAAACUUACGCUAAUACCGCAUACGACCUACGGGUGAAAGCAGGGGAUCUUCGGACCUUGCGCGAUUGAAUGAGCCGAUGUCGGAUUAGCUAGUUGGCGGGGUAAAGGCCCACCAAGGCGACGAUCCGUAGCUGGUCUGAGAGGAUGAUCAGCAAAACUGGAACUGAGACACGGUCCAGACUCCUACGGGAGGCAGCAGUGGGGAAUAUUGGACAAUGGGCGAAAGCCGGAUCCAGCCAGACCGCGUGGGUGAAGAAGGCCUUCGGGUGGUAAAGCCCUUUUGUUGGGAAAGAAAAGCAGCAGGUUAAUACCCCGCUGUUCUGACGGUACCCAAAGAAUAAGCACCGGCUAACUUCGU
rnacentral:rRNA from 1 species